UUCUUGUGGAGAUAACAUAUUUUAUUCUUGUGACAGUCGCUUAUGUUUCAAUAAGAAGGUUCUCGCGUUUCUCUCUCCCUGAAGGGUUUCACCCAAUCUCUUCUUAGAUUACUUUGAUUUUUUGUGCGUAACAAGGUAUCAGAAUUCGAAAUUUGGUGAAUCGGACCUACAUCUAUCAUCUGGUGUUACCUCCGAUAGCUAAUUUUGAGUUUUAAGUUUUUUAGUGCAUUUUUUGGCGGUAUUUGGCGACUGUUUCUGGGCCCUCUGAAGAGACCACUGAUUUUUGGUAAAAUCUCAAAUGAGAUUUAUUUGCUUCAGUCUGGGCUACUUUCUCCUUCGUCUAUUUCUACCAUUUCAAUUGGUGAAGCUGUGACUGCUACUUCUGAUACUUUUGCUUGCUUUUCUUUUACUCUCUCUACUGUUUACACUGUAAAUACUAUCGAAGCUAAUAAAAUUAUUCCUUCUAGUCUUUCUACUGUUCAUAUUGUAAAUAACAUCGAAGCUAAUAAAAUUAUUCCUGCUUGUGAGUGUUCUUCUGCUUGUUCUUUUUCUUCUAUUUUUUAUUUGGAUAUGUUUUGGCAUCUUCUACUUGGUCAUAUGCCUUUUCAUAAAAUGAAGUCACAUACUCACCUUAAAGAUAAACUCUCUAAGAAAUAG